CCCUUAGAUGUUCUGGGCCGCACGCGCGCUACGCUGACAUGUUCAACAAGCCUCCUAGUUCGACAGGAUUUGGGAAAUCUUUGAACGCAUGUCGUGAUAGGGAUAGAUCAUUGCAAUUAUUGAUCUUGAACGAGGAAUUCCUAGUAAACGCGAGUCAUCAGCUCGCAUUGAUUACGUCCCUGCCCUUUGUACACACCGCCCGUCGCACCUACCGAUUGAAUGUUUCGGUGAAGAUUCCGGAUAGGACUUUUUUGAUUUAUUUCAAUUUUGUCUUAAAAGCUAUCUAAACCUCAACAUUUAGAGGAAGGUGAAGUCGUAACA
rnacentral:rRNA from 1 species